UUCUGGUCCGCACCCCACUUUAGACGGGAAAUCCUGUGCGAGGCAUAUUAGUCAUAUUGUCGGACUUAGGUAACCAACAGUAAGUCUUGGAUCAUCUUGGCAUUAUAGGGCC